rnacentral:rRNA from 1 species
AAUGAACGCUGGCGGCAGGCCUAACACAUGCAAGUCGAACGGAUCCUUCGGGAUUAGUGGCGGACGGGUGAGUAACGCGUGGGAACAUACCCUUUGGUACGGAAUAGCCUCGGGAAACUGGGAGUAAUACCGUAUGUGCUCUUCGGAGGAAAGAUUUAUCGCCAAAGGAUUGGCCCGCGUUGGAUUAGGUAGUUGGUGGGGUAAUGGCCUACCAAGCCGACGAUCCAUAGCUGGUUUGAGAGGAUGAUCAGCCACACUGGGACUGAGACACGGCCCAGACUCCUACGGGAGGCAGCAGUGGGGAAUCUUAGACAAUGGGGGAAACCCUGAUCUAGCCAUGCCGCGUGAUCGAUGAAGGCCUUAGGGUUGUAAAGAUCUUUCGCCGGUGAAAGAUAAUG